rnacentral:rRNA from 1 species
GAUGAACGCUAGCUACAGGCUUAACACAUGCAAGUCGAGGGGAAACGACAUCGAAAGCUUGCUUUUGAUGGGCGUCGACCGGCGCACGGGUGAGUAACGCGUAUCCUACCUGCCCAUCACUUGUGAAUAACCUUGCGAAAGUAAGACUACUACCCAAUGACAUCCCACGAAGACAUCUGAAUGGGAUUAAAGAUUUAUCGGUGAUGGAUGGGGAUGCGUCUGAUUAGCUUGUUGGCGGGGUAACGGCCCACCAAGGCAACGAUCAGUAGGGGUUCUGAGAGGAAGGUCCCCCACAUUGGAGAUGAGACACGGUCCAAACUCCUACGGGAGGGAGCAGUGAGGAAUAUUGGUCAAUGGACGAGAGCCUGAACCAGCCAAGUAGCGUGCAGGAUGCUGGCCCUAGGGGUUGUAAACUGCUUUUAUAAGAGAAUAAAGUGGGUAUCGUUAGACUGUUUGCAGGUACCUGAUGAAUAAGGACCGGCUAAUUCCGUG